rnacentral:rRNA from 1 species
UGGGGAAUUUUGGACAAUGGGCGAAAGCCUGAUCCAGCAAUGCCGCGUGUGUGAAGAAGGCCUUCGGGUUGUAAGGCACUUUUGUCCGGAAAGAAAUCCUUGGCUCUAAUACAGUCGGGGGAUGACGGUACCGGAAGAAUAAGCACCGGCUAACUACGUGCCAGCAGCCGCGGUAAUACGUAGGGUGCAAGCGUUAAUCGGAAUUACUGGGCGUAAAGCGUGCGCAGGCGGUUUGCUAAGACCGAUGUGAAAUCCCCGGGCUCAACCUGGGAACUGCAUUGGUGACUGGCAGGCUAGAGUAUGGCAGAGGGGGGUAGAAUUCCACGUGUAGCAGUGAAAUGCGUAGAGAUGUGGAGGAAUACCGAUGGCGAAGGCAGCCCCCUGGGCCAAUACUGACGCUCAUGCACGAAAGCGUGGGGAGCAAACAGGAUUAGAUACCCUGGUAGUCCACGCCCUAAACGAUGUCAACUAGUUGUUGGGGAUUCAUUCCUUAGUAACGUAGCUAACGCGUGAAGUUGACCGCCUGGGGAGUACGGUCGCAAGAUUAAAACUCAAAUGAAUUGACGGGGUCAUAGCUGUUUCCU